UGAUGGAUGAUUGAUGGAUGAUGAAGGAUGGAUGAUUCUAUCUUAUUUUAUCACCGUGAACAGCGUCAGGUCUGACCACAUUUCCCUCAUGUUCAGACUGGACUUCAACUAGUUCUGCUAGAACCGGUCCAGGGUCCAGUUAAGGUUCUGGCAGAACCGAUCCCGGGUCCGGUUAAAGUUCUGGUAUCAUUAAAUGAUACAUUGCAGAAAUUUUCCAAAUCAUCAUUUUUCCAGAACAUUUUGUCCAAAGUUGCAGCUGCUGAAUCCUGGAUGGGUUCUGAUGAAGAAUCUCAGAGCGGUUCUGGUUCCUGAUCCUGAGUCCUUUGGGCCGAUGAUCCUGAUGUUUGGAUGCUGAGGCUCUAAAGCCCGUAGCGUUCUGUCCCAUCAUGGUCCAGUUCUCAGUCCUUCAUCCAAACUGGACCUGAAGGUUCUGUUCAGCAUUUAGAGCUACAGAAACACAGCAGACUCUUCCUUCUCCUGAACAUGUGGACCCUGAAGGAGGUGUGAUGCUGUGGGCUCCCCAGCUGCUUGGUCACUAUGGCAACCACUGACUCAGCUUUUUCUUUUCCCUCUUUUUGUUUCCACCAAUUAUGACUAUGAUCAGAUUAUUAUCAGUUGUGCCUUCUGCUCUGUCCUCUUUUUUUAUUUAACUCCUCGGUUCUGGUUCAUUUUUAUACGGAAGUAUUUUUUAUUUUUUAUUCCUAAUCUGCAGAUUUAAUCUAGAAGAUCGUUAAUGGACUGAAAUAAAAAUGAAGUAAAGUGUUCAGUAAGUGUUUGUUAGUUCCUGCCUUCCUUUCUGUUGCAGGACGUUUGUUUUUAUCGGUCAGAUUCUGAUUUUCUGGUCUCUGAAUGUUACAUGUGAACCCAGUCGUUCUGAUGAUGCAACCAUCAGCCGCUCCGCUCCGCUCAGACCUUCUGAGCUGCUGUUAGGAAUUAAAAGCGUGAUCUGAUCACAA